GCGCAAUGGGCGGAAGCCUGACGCAGCGACGCCGCGUGGGGGAUGACGGCCUUCGGGUUGUAAACCUCUUUCGCCAUCGACGAAGCCUUUCGGGGUGACGGUAGGUGGAGAAGAAGCACCGGCCAACUACGUGCCAGCAGCCGCGGUAACACGUAGGGUGCGAGCGUUGUCCGGAAUUAUUGGACGUAAAGAGCUCGUAGGCGGUGUGUCGCGUCGGCCGUGAAAACCUAGGGCUUAACUCUGGGCGUGCGGUCGAUACGGGCAUCACUUGAGUUCGGCAGGGGAGACUGGAAUUCCUGGUGUAGCGGUGAAAUGCGCAGAUAUCAGGAGGAACACCGGCGGCGAAGGCGGGUCUCUGGGCCGAUACUGACGCUGAGGAGCGAAAGCGUGGGGAGCGAACAGGAUUAGAUACCCUGGUAGUCCACGCCGUAAACGUUAGGCGCUAAGUGUGGGGACCAUUCCACGGUUUCUGUGCCGCAGCUAACGCAUUAAGCGCCCCGCCUGGGGAGUACGGCCGCAAGGCU
rnacentral:rRNA from 1 species